AUAUCAAGCACGGAAAAUGAUGUCCGAUUGCGCGAUAUUGUUGUUUUGACCAUGAGGAUUUUCCAGAGUAAGGCUGUCGACGGUAAAAGGAAAGGCAAGGCAUAAGACAUUCAUUACCUUUUGGAGCACUACGAUCCUUAUAAAAGAAAUUUUGCUGAUUCUUUUUUCUUUCUUUCUGUGUGUUUUUUUUUUUUUUUCUUUUGGGGUGUUUGUUCAGCACUGCUGUAACUUGUACCACGUUGUAUGUAAUUUUGUUGUAAUGCAUUCAUGUGUAGAAUA